rnacentral:rRNA from 1 species
AUUGAACGCUGGCGGCAGGCCUAACACAUGCAAGUCGAACGAGUGGCGGACGGGUGAGUAAUGUAUGGGAAACUGCCUGAUGGAGGGGGAUAACUACUGGAAACGGUAGCUAAUACCGCAUACCAUCAGAUGUGCCCAGAUGGGAUUAGCUUGUUGGUGGGGUAACGGAUAACGAAGGCGAAGAUCACUACCUGGUCUGAGAGGAAGACCAACCCCACAUGAACUGAGACACGGUCCAGACUCCGACAAGAUCUACCGUGGUAUAAUGUUGCGCAAUGGGCGCAAGCCUGCGUCAGCCAUGCCGCGUGUAUGAAGAAGUCCUUCGGGUUAUAAAGUACUUUAAUCGGGGAGGCGUUACCCACAGAAGAAGCACCGGCUAACUCCGUGCCAGCCGCCGCGGUAAUUC